rnacentral:rRNA from 1 species
UACGUAGGGGGCAAGCGUUGUCCGGAUUUAUUGGGCGUAAAGAGCUCGUAGGCGGUUUGUCGCGUCUGCUGUGAAAACUGGAGGCUCAACCUCCAGCCUGCAGUGGGUACGGGCAGACUAGAGUGCGGUAGGGGAGAUUGGAAUUCCUGGUGUAGCAGUUGAAAUGCGUAGAUAUCGUAAGGAAGGCCGGUGGCGAAAGCGAGCCUCUGGACAGUUACUGACGCUGAUGCACGAAGGCCAGGGGAGCAAACGGGAUUGAAAGCCCCAGUAG